GAUGAAGAACGUAGCGAAAUGCGAUAAGUAGUGUGAAUUGCAGAAUUCAGUGAAUCAUCGAAUCUUUGAACGCACAUUGCGCCCGCCAGUAUUCUGGCGGGCAUGCCUGUCUGAGCGUCAUUUCAACCCUCACGCCCCUAGGGCGUGGUGUUGGGGAUCGGCCAAAGCCCGCGAGGGACGGCCGGCCCCUAAAUCUAGUGGCGGACCCGUCGUGGCCUCCUCUGCGAAGUAGUGAUAUUCCGCAUCGGAGAGCGAUGAGCCCCUGCCGUUAAACCCCCAACUUUCCAAGGUUGACCUCAGAUCAGGUAGGAAUACCCGCUGAACUUAAGCAUAUCAAUAAGCGGAGGA
rnacentral:misc_RNA from 1 species